UAUUUAGCUCUCCCAAAAUGGUUACUUGUUGUUACCUGCUGUCUGAUCUGAUGUUACGAUAAGUUUUCCCCACAAAUGCUGUUCCUUGGACUAUCUCCCAAAAGGUGGUUGAACACGCACAGCUUAUAUUUCUAUAUAACUAUACUUAGUAUGUAAAUUAACUUGACAAUAAAAAAGAGC